CAGCACCACCCCCAAACUCACCAGGAGGGCAUCACCAUCUUCAUGUUGAGUGUGACAGGGAUCCUAGGCCUGGGGAGGGACAGCCAGAGGGCCAUGAUGCUCAGGAGGGAUGAGAAAGCCACAGCAGAGAGCCCAGCACAAGCAAAGACAGCCCCUGGGGGGCCCCUCCCAGCAGGCAGGGCCUGUGUUUAAGGUGUUGCCAGGCAACCUGCCACGUGGGGCUGGAGCCUGUGGUUGAGGCACUAGGAAGGAGAAGCAGAGCCCAGCACUCGGCGUGACGGGGUCCCAGCAGCCGAGACACACUCUUCCCCCUCGGCCGCCCCCGCCGGAACUUCCGUUCGAGUCCCGGGAACCCAGCCAUCGCGCUGCCGGAAGUAGCCUGGCCAGCGAUACGGAACCCGGAAGUGGGGACACGGCUUCGCUGAAUGGAAGCUGCCAUGUUGGACACGGUGGGGCCACUCCCUGUCAUUCAGCCGCGGAAUCGGAGAGUUCUUACCCGCUCCCACCUGCAGAAUCUAGACUGCCACUUGCUACCACCACCCGUGCGCCUCCUGGAGGAAAGCUGUCUGGAAGGAGAGGCAUCCCUCAUACUAUUAUUGGCAUAAAGUUUACCACCUUCUCAUCCCCGUGGGACACACUUCCUAUGGCCUUGGAUAUCCGUCGCUGGUUUUAAUGCCCUAUUCCAGGAUCAUGAAUGGAAUCAUACACCCUAAACUGAAAAGACCUUAGAGAUCAUCUAGUCCUCCAGUCUUCUUAAAGAUGAGGAAACUGAGGCUCGGAUAAGGGAAGUAUAAAUAAACAGCAACCUCAGAUUACACUGUAAUGCUGCCCCUCUGGACCUGCUUCCUUAAGCUAUAAAACGGUAAUAACCACUACCCUGCCUACUUCACAGCUUUGCUGGUAGCGUCAAAUGAGGUCGUGUGAACAUGCCUUAUACACUGUAAAAUCACAGCGUGAGGCCUUAAUCACUUUGAAAAUGACCCUGAGAAUAUAUGCAGGCCCUAUCAGGAUAGCUGGACAGAUACUGGCUGGGUUGUUAGCACUGCCCUCCAAGGCAAUGCCAUGCAGACAGUGCACAAAAUGCCACCAUCAAAUGAGCUCCAUCACAUAAGAACAAAAAGGGCUUCAUUUGGUCAUCAUUGAGUCACCUUUGCUCCUUGCUGCACUGGUAAACUGGAACUAGGGCUUAGGGACCACAGAAAGGCUGGAAGGGAGGCUAACUUGAGUUGAAGGAGCAAGUCCCUGAGAGAACAUGUGGGGAUCUGCACACAGGAAAUGCACACAUUUGUCUCUCAAGCUUAGGAUUCAUUCUCUCAGUUUAACGCAUACUAGUUUUUUUCUAAACCCAUUUCACUGUACUACAUAUUUCUUUAAACUGAAGGAACACAGUACAAACUUGGUAGCAACAAAGCACUUUUCCCUAGGCCUAAAAUAUCAGGAUUCUGGGCAGGAAAACUUUGGGCCCAGGGUGCCACAGCAAGCCAAGGACUCAGGACUGGAUGUCAAAAGAGAAAGGAGAUAAAAGUGUAAAACAAUACAUCUGCCCCCACUCCCAACAGAAUCCCUGCUGAAUCUGCUUAUAGAAGAAUGGGCAGUUCCUCCUGCAUCCCAAUCACCCAAGACUCUGCAGCACUUUCAGCAAAUUCUUCAGAGUGAAGCUUCAAAUUCAGAGGCUCGGUCCUGCCAGCUACCUGUGAUUAGUGGAAUUAAUAAAAAGUCUACUCUAAGAUUUCUAACUUUAUUUUCCCUCCUACUCCAAAUUAAAACAUAGCCCUUCUUUUUUUUCCCCCAGCAUAUUAUGAGGGUACAAAUGUUAAGGUUACAUUUAUUGCCCUUGCCCCCAUCAUAGCCCUUCUUACAUCUCCAAAAUGAUCCAACAGAAAUAAAAUAGGUUGUGGCUGAGUGAGUAGGACUCUUAGUGCGUCAAAAACUGUUUGCAUUCUUGUUGACUUUUGAUUUUUAGAAACUUUGAGCCCUGACAAGGUUUGGUAGUGGCAGAUUUUUCCCAGGACAGGCUGGAGAAAGAGUGAUUAUAUCCUUCUAACAGUAGUGUGGGCCAAUCCCUCAGAGGAAUUCUCUCAGAAGAUCAGAUUCAACACUAAUUUCCUUUAUCACUUAUUCCUAUUUUCUGCAAGGUAGAGGAUACUGACCAUCUCAAAUCCUCUUUUUUGAUACUUAAGUUAUCUUCAAUUGCUGCACUGACUUUCAAAAUUUAAGUUGAGAGUCUUUGGUCCACCUUCAGACAGCAUGUGCUGCUCACUUACUUUCCUCACCUUCAUUUCUUCUGAUGAACUCCAGAAUCUGUCCUCCCUUAUUUUUGCAAAUGUCACUCCACAAAUUACUUCCCUUUGUGAGAAAUGGAAAGGUUUUUAUAUGUGGGUGUAGGAGUGUUUUUAACCUACUGUACAGAAUUAAGCUUGGCCUUUCCAGGAGAAACUAACCUAAUCUUGAUUUAACUGUGGCAUUUCUUAAGAUCUACCUAGUCCAAAACAAUUAUAAAAAAUUUCGAAGUUCAAUACAAUUCCCAGUAAAAUGAAAUUUUCAUCAACACUAUCAAGAACUCAAGAGAAAAUAUAAACAUUAAGUCUGGCAAGGAUUUAUUAGGAAGCUUAUUAGUCACAGUGAAUAAAAGCCAUGAAAAGAAGAACUCAGAGAUCUCCAAAUUCUGGCACUGGGCUCACAAAACUAGUUAGAAGCUAAUAAACAUUAUGGAGGUUCCAAGGGGAAUCUUAACUAAGCCUCAAUCUUACCCCAACCAAGCUACCCACAAACACAGAAAUGAUUCCCAUGCUCUCCCUAGAUUGCUCAGCUAGGCAGACAGAAAGGAGACCUCCCCAAGCUAUCACACAUCAGAGCAAGAGACUCCUGCCCUUCUAGCUGUAACCAUGGGACACCUAUGUGUGACAGACAACUCCAAGCUAGGCAACUUGACAAGAAUGCUGAAUGAUGACAGGGAAAAGGAGCAAGCAGGAACAAGUGUUUCUAGUUGGAGACCCUCCUGAUGGCUAAUACAAACACGAUCCUGUGGCUUCAGAAAGUUCCUGCAGCCCAGAAAUAGUUUCCAUUUUGUUAAAAAACAA